rnacentral:rRNA from 1 species
GACGAACGCUGGCGGCGUGCUUAACACAUGCAAGUCGAACGGAGCUAUUGGAGAGCUUGCUCGAAGAUAGCUUAGUGGCGAACGGGUGAGUAACGCGUGAGUAACCUGUCUCAUACAGGGGGAUAACACUUGGAAACAGGUGCUAAUACCGCAUAAGACCACAGAGUCGCAUGAUUCAGAGGUCAAAGAUUUAUCGGUAUGAGGUGGGCUCGCGUCUGAUUAGAUAGUUGGUGAGGUAACGGCUCACCAAGUCGACGAUCAGUAGCCGACCUGAGAGGGUGAUCGGCCACAUUGGAACUGAGAUACGGUCCAAACUCCUACGGGAGGCAGCAGUGGGGAAUAUUGGGCAAUGGGCGAAAGCCUGACCCAGCGACGCCGCGUGAGGGAAGAAGGUCUUCGGAUUGUAAACCUCUGUCAACAGGGAAGAAGAAAGUGACGGUACCUGUGGAGGAAGCCACGGCUAACUACGUG